AGCAGCACCUGCCGGUCACACCUGCAGAAGCUCGGUUCCCGCUGCAGACCUGCGGUGGCUGCAGUCUUCCACACCUUGUCCAGGACCGAGCUGGCUGGGCCACGGCCUCCGGAGCCCGGUGCUAGGAGCCUCCAGAACUUCAGUGGUUUGCUCUCCACAGAUAAGAACUUCUCACAGUCUAACACUAGAGGGCGCGCUGCCUUCUCAUCAAAUGCCCUGGGGGCUCCAGGUGGUGCUGUGCCAAGGCUGACCGACCAGAGCAUUCUGUCCCCACGUGCCUCAUCGCCUCUAAGUGCCACAGGGCACGAUGGAACCACAUGGACUUCAGACUCUGGCCUGGGGUCAGAUGCUUAGAUGCUAUGUGUGACCUUCACGGGCUACUCAGCACUUGAAAUGUGGUAGAGCACCUGACAGCUGAUUUUUUGGUGGUGGUUUCGUUCAGUUUUAUCAAUUUCAAUGUAAAUAGCCACAUGUGGCUAAAACCUUUAAGCCUUCCAUGUCUUGUUGCUCAGUGCACACAUGCAGCCAGGUCUUAGUAUCCAAGUGUGGGUGGUGACGUUCAUCUCUGCUAACUUCUCUUUCGUCUGUUACUUUAGUUUUUAAUUUAAGCAAUGAG
rnacentral:lncRNA from 1 species